rnacentral:rRNA from 1 species
AUUGAACGCUGGCGGCAUGCCUUACACAUGCAAGUCGAACGGCAGCGCGGGAGCAAAUCCUGGCGGCGAGUGGCGAACGGGUGAGUAAUAUAUCGGGAACGUGCCCUGUAGCGGGGGAUAACCUAUCGAAAGAUGGACUAAUACCNCAUACGCUCUACGGAGGAAAGACGGGGGUCGCGAAGACCUCGCACUAUAGGAGCGGCCGAUAUCGGAUUAGCUAG